AUUGAACGCUGGCGGCAGGCCUAACACAUGCAAGUCGAACGAGUGGCGGACGGGUGAGUAAUGUCUGGGAAACUGCCUGAUGGAGGGGGAUAACUACUGGAAACGGUAGCUAAUACCGCAUACCAUCGGAUGUGCCCAGAUGGGAUUAGCUAGUAGGUGGGGUAAAGGCUCACCUAGGCGACGAUCCCUAGCUGGGCUGAGAGGAUGACCAGCCACACGGGAACUGAGACACGGUCCAGACGCCUACGUGAGGCAGCAGUGGGGAAUAUUGCACAAUGGGCGCAAGCCUGAUGCAGCCAGGCCGCGUGUAUGAAGAAGGCCUUCGGGUUGUAAAGUACUUUCAGCGGGGAGGCGUUACCCGCAGAAGAAGCACCGGCUAACUCCGUGCCAGCCGCCGCGGUAAUAC
rnacentral:rRNA from 1 species